CGGAGCGUAGCGCAGUUGGCUAGCGCACUUGUAUGGGGUACAAGAGGUCGUGAGUUCAAGCCUCACCGCUCCGACCA
rnacentral:tRNA from 1 species